rnacentral:rRNA from 1 species
UACAGAGGGGGCAAGCGUUGUUCGGAAUUACUGGGCGUAAAGAGCGCGCAGGCGGUCGUGCAAGUCGCGUGUGAAAGCCCCCGGCUCAACUGGGGAGGGUCACGCGAUACUGCUCGACUCGAAGGCAGGAGAGGGAAGUGGAAUUCCCGGUGUAGUGGUGAAAUGCGUAGAUAUCGGGAGGAACACCAGUGGCGAAGGCGACUUCCUGGCCUGUUCUUGACGCUGAGGCGCGAAAGCUAGGGUAGCAAACGGG